UUCAAUUUUGGACAGGAAUCUGCACCACCCCCGAGGACCAGAGAACGACCCUCCAGUCGAACAAGUACCAAACGUCGUGCACCAGCCCCUCCUAACUAUCAACGGAACAAUUACACAUCCAAUGAUUACCGUCAGAACUCGGGUGAAAGCGAGUCCCAUCAUAAUUAUCACAAUAGAGCCAACGAUGAUUACAGGGGAGACAAAUACAAGACAAACGGAAUGAAGAAAGAUUACGACCACAUCCUUGAAAUGAAAACAAGAGGCCAGGUGCAAUCCAACAACAAUGCAGAUGAUGAAGCAGAUGACCCGCCUUUCAACUUUCAGGCGAUGCUGAGGAAAACAAAUCACAAUCGCGCUUCCCUCC
rnacentral:lncRNA from 1 species